rnacentral:rRNA from 1 species
AGACGUGUGCUCUUCCGAUCUAGUGGAUGCCUUGGCACCGAAAGACGAUGAAGGACGCGACUACCUGCGAUAAUCCUCGGCGAGCUGGAAGUAAGCUUUGACCCGAGGGUCUCCGAAUGGGGAAACCCGAUGCGCGUUAUGGCGCACCACCUGACCGGCCAAUACAUAACCGGCAGGAGACAACCCUGGGAAUUGAAACAUCUAAGUACCAGGAGGAAAAGAAAGAGAAUUCGAUUCCGUCAGUAGCGGCGAGCGAAAGCGGAAGAGCCUAAACCACCUUGAGUGGGGUUCGGGAUCACAUCAGUAUAAGUAGACACAAGGAGAAUUACCUGGAAUGGUAAGCCAAAGAGGGUGAAAGCCCCGUACCUGUAAAAAUGCUACUUGUCGUGAUUUCCAGAGUACGGCGGGACACGUGAAAUCCUGUCGGAAUGUGCGGAGACCACUCCGUAAGGCUAAAUACUCUUCGGUGACCGAUAGUGAACCAGUACCGUGAGGGAAAGGUGAAAAGAACCCCGGGAGGGGAGUGAAAAGAAUCUGAAACCGUAUGCCUACAAAAAGUCAGAGGGCGUUAAAGCCUGAUGACGUGCCUAUUGAAGAAUGAGCCGGCGAGUUAUGAACACAUGCGAGGUUAAGGAGAAGAUCCGGAGCCGAAGCGAAAGCGAGUCUUAACAGGGCGACAGUAUGUGUUUGUAGACCCGAAACCCGACGAUCUAGCCAUGAUCAGGAUGAAGUAAGGGUAAAACCUUAUGGAGGUCCGAACCGACGUUCGUUGAAACGCCCGCGGAUGAAUUGUGGCUCGUGGUGAAAUUCCAAUCGAGUCGGGUAAUAGCUGGUUCUCCCCGAAAUAGCUUUAGGGCUAGCCUUGGGACAUUGUUUAGUGGGGGUAAAGCACUGAAUAUGAGCGAGCCGCGCCAAGCGGUAUCAAUCAUAAUCAAACUCUGAAUCCCAUUAGAUGUACCCCAGGAGUCAGACUACGGGAGAUAAGUUCCGUGGUCAAGAGGGCAACAGCCCAGACCGCCGAUUAAGGUCCCUAAAUUCACGCUAAGUGUCAAAGGAUGUAGAGAUACUCAAACAGCUAGGAUGUUGGCUCAGAGGCAGCCAUCAUUUAAAGAAUGCGUAACAGCUCACUAGUCAAGUGUCUCCGCGCCGAAAAUUUACCGGGGCUAAGCGUGAUACCGAAAUCGCGGAUGAAUCCUAAAAAUUCGUGGUAGGGGAGCGUUCUGUUUGCAGUGAAGCCAUAUCGUGAGGAGUGGUGGAGCGUACAGAAGCGAGAAUGCCGGCGUAAGUAACGAUAAAGGGUGAGAAUCCCUUUCACCAAUUGACUAAGGUUUCCUGGGCAAGGUUCGUCCUCCCAGGGUUAGUCGGGACCUAAGGCGAGGCCGACAGGCGUAGUCGAUGGACAGCAGGUUGAUAUUCCUGCACCCGAGCACGCAGUGAUGCAAUGACGAAAACGGCUAUGCUCACCUCCGAUCGGAAGUGGAGGGCAGAGCGUAGGAGUCGAUUCCUUGUUAAGUACGGGAAUCAUUAAGACAAAGACGUGCGGUAUGAAAGUCGCGAGACGAGUAAGAAACAGCAGACGCCGAUUUCCAAGAAAAGUUGCUAACGUUAAACGUGUUCGGCCCGUACCGAGAACGGACACACGUGGUCAAGGAGAAUAUCCUGAGGUGAGCGAGAUAACUGUUGUUAAGGAACUCUGCAAAAUAACUUCGUAAGUUAGCAAGAAGAAGUGCUCCAGCGAUGGAGCCGCAGCGAAUCGGCCCAAGUAACUGUUUACCAAAAACACAGCUCUAUGCUAAGUCGCAAGACGAUGUAUAUGGGGUGACGCCUGCCCGGUGCCGGAAGGUUAAAAGGAGAGGUUAGGAGCAAUCCGAAGCUUUGAAUUGAAGCCCCGGUGAACGGCGGCCGUAACAAUAACGGUCCUAAGGUAGCGAAAUUCCUUGUCAGGUAAGUUCUGACCCGCAUGAAAGGCGUAAUGAUUUGGGCACUGUCUCAACAGCCCGCCCGGCGAAAUUGUAGUACCGGUGAAGAUGCCGGUUACCCGCGACUAGACGGAAAGACCCCAUGGAGCUUUACUAUAACUUAAUAUUGAGUAAAUGCGAAUCUUGUACAGUAUAGGUGGGAGACUUUGAAGUCGGGGCGUCAGCUUCGAUGGAGUCGCCGUUGGGAUACCACUCUGGAUUUGCAUUUAUUCUAACUCCUACCCUGGAUGGGCGGGAGGACAGUGUUAGGCGGGUAGUUUGGCUGGGGCGGCCGCCUCCCAAAUAGUAACGGAGGCGCCCUAAGGUACCCUCAGUAUGGUCGGAAAUCAUACGUAGAGCGCAAAUGCAUAAGGGUGCUUGACUGCAAGACCGACAAGUCGAGCAGGUACGAAAGUAGGGAUUAGUGACCAGGCGGUUUCAUUGUGGAAUGGCCGUCGCUUAACGGAUAAAAGCUACCCUGGGGAUAACAGGCUGAUCGCGUCCAAGAGUUCACUUCGACGACGCGGUUUGGCACCUCGAUGUCGGCUCAUCACAUCCUGGAGGGGCAGCACCUUCCAAGGGUUAGGCUGUUCGCCUAUUAAAGUGGUACGCGAGCUGGGUUCAAAACGUCGUGAGACAGUUUGGUCCCUAUCUGUCGUGGGCGUAGGAAGUUUGAAAGGAUCCGUCCCUAGUACGCAAGGACCAGGAUGGACAUAGCUACGGUACACCGGUUGUAACGCCAGUUGCACGGCCGGGUAGCCGCCUAUGGAUCGGAUAAACGCUGAAAGCAUCUAAGCGCGAAACCGUCCUUAAGAUGAGACUUCCCUUUCGCAAGAAAUAAGAUCCGCGGUAAGUUACCGCGUUGAUAGGUCGCAGAUGUAAGCAUAGCGAUAUGUUCAGUCGAGCGAUACUAAUAGAUCGACCAGAUCGGAAG